rnacentral:lncRNA from 12 species
ACGCUCAGCCCGGGGGCUCCGAGGGGAGGGGUGGAACGGGCGGGAGGGGAGGAGCAAUCUGGCACCACGGUGCGCCUCCGGGGGCCGGCGGGUGGAGGGGGACACUCCAGGGAGCAGGGAGCCUGGGGCCCUUGGAGACCCAGAGGAAGAGCAACAAGUAGCCCCCACCUCCUCCCAGAACUGCUGUCCGGAGGUUCUGUAUCUGAAGCACGGACAGCUGGGGUUCCAGGAGAAAACUGCAGAAGCCAGUCCACACAGAGAGGACUUUUGGGGUUUGGCUGCCAACUGAUAUGAGCCCUGGAAUGGAUUUAACUUGCUGUGUGGCCUUUGGAAAAUCAUGUAGCAUCUCUGUGCUGUUUCCUUGUUUGUGCUAAAUUAUUGCUGAGGCCUCCUCUUGUGCCAGCUUUCUAUGCCACUACAAUUUGACACGAUCCUUGACCAAAUCAUAAAUUCCUGGUUAAUGGGAUAAAAAUGAGUUAGAAUCUGGGAUUCUGGUCAUUAACCCCAUGUCACCAUCUGCUGGAGCGGUGUGAUGACAGGGUCAGGUGAAUCCAAACCGCCCAACACUUGUUAAACAUGCAGAUACUUGUUCUAUCCUCUCUCCGCCCCCUCCUCCACCCCCACGGAAUCAGAAUCUCUAGGGUGCAGGGAAGGCUCUCCUCCUUUAUGGGAUUAUGGAGGGCAGAGCGGGGAUCCCACCAGAACCAGCCACAUUCCAGGAGCUCCUGUCUAUCAGGCAUGCCAAGACAUUUUUCCGGAGUUUUGCACUUGGAUUUCCCUCAGCCUGGGAAGGUCUCCCCUACAGCUGGCGUCUUCUCAUAUGUCACCUGCACAGAGAGGACUUGGCUGGCCCCUCUCUCUCCCCCCUCCCCCCUUCCUCCCCACUAACCCAUCACUUGUUUCCUUUCCUUUUCAGUACUAAUCAUUUUUUGAAAUUCAUCUCCUCUUCUUGUGAAUUAUCUACUACUCCUACUGGAACAGAAGGCCCCACUCCAUCCCCACCCCCACCCCCAGGGGCAGAGACCCUUCCUGGGUGUUGGAGGCCAUACCUCAGCAUGAGGGGCACGGGAGAUGCUCUGGGAUGUGAGCAUUCCCUUACCUCCAAGCCCAAAGCUUCUUCUCUGAGAUGCAAGAAUGGGGACCCCCUUCUGACCCUGAGAAACCUGUGUCCUGUCCUGAAGUCAGUUCCUGAAGACAGCCAACCUUGACAUUUGCCACGCUAGCUUUUCUCUGUUUUCCUCACCUGACGGCAUAAUGAUGUCAUAAAGAAACAACUGAAACAGUAGGUGUUUAAUAAAGGCUUGCUAAUACGAAAUAAGGAAGGCA